rnacentral:lncRNA from 1 species
UUCACUCGUUUUGUAGUAUAUUUCUUUCCUUUUCAUAAUAGUCACUAAAUAAGAAUGAUGCAUGUAAAGUGAUGAUGGAAUAACAUAUGAUAUUUGUAGCAUGUUUUUAGUAUAUUUUCUUGCAUUUGAAGGAAAAUUAUAAGUCAAUUAGAGGAAUUGUCACUAGUUUGAGGAACGUUUUGUAUUUUUUUCACUCGAGUCGUUGUAAUUUACUUUUAUCAUGCAUUUUCAUAGGUGUUUUUAGCGUUUUCUAGUGAGAAAUCAUGCAAAUCGAGAAAUCUAGACAUCAUGUGAAGGAUCAAUGAUAUGAAGAUUAAAGACAAUGAUUUUUAGCUGAAAUCGAUAAGACGGAAGGACGAGCGAAAAUAGCUGAAAUCGCACUUGAGGGGUUGCCUCAUAUUCCUCUCCGCACGAGGCCAUGUGCCCCUGUGCAUGGAGGAGCUUUAGCUACUUCCCCAUGCGCGCCGCACAUGGACUAGACUAGGGAGUGCUGAUUGGGAAGUCCCUUUUGGUGGAAAACCCCUAUUUUCACUCUCUUAACCCCUAAGAAACCUUGAACUAUAAAUAGAGACCGUUGCAUACACUUUAACUCAUUCAAAAAACUAGCGGUGGCAAGGCAAGGGUCAAGCAUCAAGAGCUUUAAGGAAGAGGAUCUCCAUCCUCCUCUUGUUCUCUCUAGGGUGUGUUUUUCAAUUAUUUUGUAAUGAUGUCCGUUUCCAUGAGCGACUUAACCUCUUUGAGUAGAGCUUCACGAUGAACCCCUUCUUAUUGUUGGAUUGUUUUAAUAAAGUUUUUAUCUAACUUAUAAUAUAAAGUAUGAGUUAUUUGUAUAUAUAUGUUUCUAUACCACAUCCUAGAUUGAGCAAUGUUAGGAUUAACAACCCUCGCCUCUAAUCAACCAAGGCAAUAGUGAAUUGCUUGGUUUAUAAUAUAAUUGAAUCUUAGUAUGAAUUUAGGGUUAUAACUCAUCUUUAGGGACCCUCUUAAUUUGAAAGGCCGAAUUGAAGAGAAAGCUACGAAGGUGAGAAAAACAGAAGAAGGGGGUUGAAUUCUGUUUAGGAUAAGGAAAGUGGGCUUUUUGCAGCGAUCCGACUUGAAAACAAGUGGCAGGAAAAAUUUGCCUACAGCGGGCACUAGCUAUGCCCAUAGUAGUAGCCUCACUUCCAAGGGUGGGAGCCAUGCCCAGCCAGGCAUGAGUCACACACAAGACAGCCCAAAAUGUGCGAAUCCUUGAGUUUUUCAGCCGUUUUCGAUCGUUCUUCCAUUUGAAAACUCCUAGGAACUUGAAAUAAAUUUUCCUCACUUUGUAUUUUCUUUAAAAACCUUUUAAGAACCAUUGACUUCAAUCUUCAUAUCCUUGAUCCUUCACAUGAUGUUUUGAUUUGUCGAUUUACAUGAUUUAUCACUAUUAAAAACUCAAAACACCUAUGGAAUUGCAUAAUCUAGGAUAAAAGUGAAUUACAACGACUAGAGUGAAAAAAAUACAAUAUGUUAAGUUUAUUAACAACUCAUCUAUCUCUCAACUUAUUUGUAUGAAAAGAAAAGUACUAAAAACGUAGCCAAAAUGUCAUAUGAUGCUCUGUCAUCACAACCCCAAAUAAAACGUAGCAUUCAGAAGAUUUUGUCAUAUUUUUAUUCCUCUCACUAUCAGACUUGACUAACUUACCACUGAAGGUGAGAAAAACACAAGAUUAGGGGUUGAAUUGUGUUGGCUUUUUGUGGUUUCUUUUUGUGAGUAUUGAUACUAGUCCGAUUUUGAAGGGUUCAGAUUAUGACAUAGAGUCUGAGUGUCGUGGAUAAUACAGAACACAAAUCUGAGAGAAGGUGAGAAAAACACAAGAAGGGGGUUGAAUUGUGUUAGAUUUUUCUUCUUUUGAACUAAUUCCAAAGUUCAGAUUCUAAUAGAGUUCAGAUUCUGAAGUAGAGUUCAGAGUUAAGUGCAGCAGAUAAUAAAGAGAUAGUUAGAUAGAUAGAUAGAUAGAUAGAUAGAUAGAGAGAGAGAGAGAGAGAGAGAGAGAGAGAGAGAGAGAGAGAGAGAGAGAGAGAUAGAUAGAUAGAUAGAUAGAUAGAUAGAUAGAUAGAUAGAUAGAUAGAUAGAAAGAGAGAGAGAGAGACACAAACAAUUAUCCUGGUUGCUUCCAUAAUCCGGAAGUAGUCCAGUCCCCUGUCACUUACAGAAGUCUUUUCGCUAUAAUCACACAAGAUUACAAUUGCUCAAGCACAUAAGCAAGAGACUUCCUAUGCUCAAGCACACAAGCAAGAGACUUCACAUGCUCAAGCACACAAGCAAGACACUUAUAACAAACUAGAAUUACAAGGAAAUAAUUGUUUAGUUGAACACUUGAUAUACAAUAAGUGGUGUUCACAAUAGAAAACACGUCAGACUCUAUACUUAAGGAUUUCUAAGAAAUGAAAGUUUAUAAGAAAUUCUAAGUGUCUGAUGCUUAAAGAAUUUUGACAAAGUUUUGGCACUUGCAAAAUAUUAAAGAGUCUCUGCAUAUCUUCAAAUCUUCAUUCCUUUAUAUAGAGGUAGGAAAAAGACGUUGUAGAGGUGCCAGCACAUCAAAGAGUCGUUAGAGAAGAUUGAUCAAUCAACAUUGAUUUGUCGCUUGAUUUGGUUGAUGUCCUAUGAAGGAAUAAUUUGAAAACCAUUCCUUGAUAGGAAAUUAACCGUUCUAAUCCAGUAGAGACACAAUUGUAGCUUGUACUAUGCACAUGAAGAUGUUGGAUUAGUGGUGGUAAUGGUUGUACAAUUGUACUAUUUGUCCUUCAAUGUCCUUUCUCUAAGAAUAAGCAUCCAAAGCUUUCUAAUUCUUCAGAACUAUCAUUGCGCCAGUCUUUUAUAUCCUUCUGCAUCUUUUUCUCUUUUAAUAAUUGUUGAAACUAACAUCAGGG